rnacentral:lncRNA from 1 species
AUGUUGAUCCCCCACUGGGCGAAUGGCCAGGGGGCACUGAUCGAGGUCAGUGGGGCCGAGGGUUGGCGCUGGAUGUUGGCGUUCCGCUGGCAUCAAUCGCACCUUCGGACGAAGUCCGUUGCGUCCUUUUGAAGUGUGGGCCUAUAGUAUCCUUGGCGCAAGAUUUUAUGGGCUAGUGCUCGGCCUCUCAGAUGGUUCCUGCAUAUCCCUUCAUGGACCUCUCGCAUGGCAUAGUCCGCCUCUGACGGGCAGAGGCAUCUGAGGAGAGGAGAGGUGAAGGAUUUCCGGUAGAGCUUGCCUUCAUAUAAUAUGUAUCAGGAGGCUAAACGCCUGAUUCGGCGAGCCUCGAGCUCAUCAUUGGGAGGGGCUUCAUUUCGUAGAUAACUGAUGAGCUCGUCCAUCCAGCUCGGCUCGGUUUCGAUGCAGAGGGUCGGCUCAGGCUCCUCCGUGCCGGGCAUUUGGAGAUAUUCGAGCAUUGUUGCCUUAGGAAGCUCGCUCAUGCGGGAGGUCGCCAGCUUCGAUAGUUGGUCUGCCCUUAGGUUCUCUGUUUUGGAGAUGUGCUGGAUAUUGAAGGAGCCCAGGGUGGAUGUGAGGUCUCGCACCUUUUGGAGAUACCUUUGCAUCGAUCGCUCUCUUGCUUCAAAGUCCCCUAGGAUCUGGCUCACGACCAGUUGGGAGUCA